UGUGGCCUACGGGGCGCAGCAGUGAGGAAUAUUGGUCAAUGGGAGAGAUCCUGAACCAGCCAAGCCGCGUGAGGGAAGACGGCCCUAUGGGUUGUAAACCUCUUUUGUCGGAGAACAAAACCCGGGACGAGUCCCGGACUGCGUGUAUCCGAAGAAAAAGCAUCGGCUAACUCCGUGCCUGCAGCCUCGGUAAUACGGAGUAUGCGAGCGUUAUCCGGAUUUAUUGGGUUUAAAGGGUGCGUAGGCGGUCCGUUAAGUCAGCGGUAUAAUUGC
rnacentral:rRNA from 1 species